rnacentral:rRNA from 1 species
AUUGAACGCUGGCGGCAUGCCUUACACAUGCAAGUCGAACGGUAACAGGUCUUCGGAUGCUGAUGAGUGGCGAACGGGUGAGUAAUACAUCGGAACGUGCCUAGUAGUGGGGGAUAACUACUCGAAAGAGUGGCUAAUACCGCAUGAGAUCUACGGAUGAAAGCAGGGGAUCGCAAGACCUUGUGCUACUAGAGCGGCCGAUGGCAGAUUAGGUAGUUGGUGGGAUAAAAGCUUACCAAGCCGACGAUCUGUAGCUGGUCUGAGAGGACGAUCAGUCACACUGGGACUGAGACACGGCCCAGACUCCUACGGGAGGCAGCAGUGGGGAAUUUUGGACAAUGGGCGCAAGCCUGAUCCAGCAAUGCCGCGUGCAGGAUGAAGGCCUUCGGGUUGUAAACUGCUUUUGUACGGAACGAAAAGCCCUGGGUUAAUACCCUGGGGUCAUGACGGUACCGUAAGAAUAAGCACCGGCUAACUACGUGCCAGCCGCCGCAGUAAGAC